AUUACCACCUGUGGAUAACUGAAAUAAAGUUCAAGCGAAGCCAUGUCCAUAGAAAAUAUAAAGAUGUGAGAAAUCCAAGGAACGUGUGUGAUGAGCUGGUUCCUUCGUCUGUCCUGGACAUCUGAAGGAAAGAAAUGCCUGAAAGCUCAAGUCCCAAUUUCUCAGCUCAAGUAAAAGACACUAAAUCAUAGCAUUUAAAGAAUUUCUUGUCAACUACAUCUUCCAGGAUGAUAUAUCCGAAAGCUGAAAUUAAAAUUUGAUCCUGUAGGUUUAUGAAUUACAGUGCCUGCUGUACUCUGAGCCUCAAGGCAGUAGUUAAAGCCUGCCAUCUGCCCACAGAAGAUCUUGAUUGCUGUGGAUGAUGUCAAUCUGCAUGACCCCAGCCCAAAGUUUUCUGAGUAAGCACUGUUUAGAUGUUCAUUUUUAAAUGAAUAAAUUAGGCCAUGACCUUCAAGAAACCAUACGUGUGUGUGUAUGUAUAUAUGGGUAUUAUGUAUGAACAUACAUGUAUGUACAUACAUACACAUAUAUGUGACAUCAAGGCCAUAUAUAUGCAGGUAUGUUCAUAUAUGUAUACACAUAUAUGUUCUUGAUUUAAUAGCUUUAAGUAAUAUCUUUUGAAUUAAGAUUAAAGGUGAGGAAAUAAACAUGAACAGUUCCCUGAUGUCAUUUCCCGUCGGUCUGCAGCUUGUUUACUCUGUUCUGGCACAUCAGCCCCUUUGUGGCUUCUCGAGGAGCUCAGGGACACACCUACUUUCAGAGUUUUGCUUUACUCAUUUUCAUUGCCAUAAUGCUGCUCUUGUGGUUCUCUGCUUGGCAAAUUCACUCACUUCCUUCAUGUUUAUGCCCAAAUCUCCCCUUAUCAAUAUUUCUACCGCACUGCCAGCCCCCCCUUACAGUAGUGUAUUGACUCUGUUUCCAUCUUUCUCCUUGCUUUCUUACAUAGCACAUCAUUUAUGUGUGUAUUACCUGCACUUAGUAUCUGUUCUACCUUCCCUUCAUCGUACAAACUCCACAAUAGGGGUAUUCGUCAGUUUUGUUUCCUAAUAUAUCUUAGGUUUCUCAAACAGUGCCUGUCAUGUGUUAGGUUCGCAGUGAUUGUAUGAUUAAUAAAAUAUUUGUUGAGUGAAAGAAAUUCGCUUUUUCCUGAGCUCAUUCAGUCACAGUGUUUUAAUCUCUUUAUCAUUUUACUAUCUUUUUCUUCAGCUCAUAUGUUUCAGCUUUAUGCUACUGAUUCAUAGACAUGAUUUCUGCGUUAAACAUAUUAUUUUAAUUCUCCAUUUUCAUCAAGGUGUACAAAACAUUUCCAGUAACUAUUUUUUGUCUAUUUUUUUAAGUUGCCUUUCCUUGUAAUAUCUUUCUACUGCCUGUGUGAACUCUCAGGGUUGAAGGAGGUGAGCAUUCCUUAAGUUAUAUAUUUGUAGGAGUUUCACGUAGGAAAAUGAUUAGUACUAUGUGUCAGGUUACUUGUCGUUUUCCUUUUCCCCCAAGAUUUGGUGGGUAAAUUUGUUUAUUCUCACUUCUCACCAGUUGAGGAGGAUAACAAAUCUUCUACCCCUCUGACAUGGAGAUGGGCUCCAUCCUGACUACAUGGCCUGCCUAUGCCAUUCCUUUGCCUCCUGUUUCUAGGAAGCAAACUGAUUUGAGAGAAGUUCCCAUCACCAUAUUCCCUUUUCUCUCCCUGGUAAGCAAAACGGAUUCACUGCAGACAUGGCUGUCACCUUCAAGAAGCCUAUUUGUCUGAGAUUGAUUGCCAUAAUCCUGUCUGUUUCCUAAAAGACUAACUACUAUUUGAGGCUCUUU
ensembl:lncRNA